rnacentral:tRNA from 1 species
UUAAUUGAAGCCAAAUCAGAGGCAUAUUAUUGUUAAUAAUAACAUUGGAUAAAAAGCCCAAUUAAG